rnacentral:rRNA from 1 species
AUUGAACGCUAGCGGGAUGCCUUACACAUGCAAGUCGAACGGAGUGGCGAACGGGUGAGUAAUGUAUCGGAACGUGCCCAGUAGCGGGGGAUAACUACGCGAAAGCGUAGCUAAUACCGCAUACUAUUGGAGCGGCCGAUAUCGGAUUAGCGAGUUGGUGGGGUAACGACUCACCAAGGCGACGAACCGUAGCUGGUUUGAGAGGACGCACAGCCAACCGGGGACUGAGACACUGCCCAGAGUCCUACGGUAGGGAGCAGUGGGGAAUUUGGGACAAUGGGGGAACACAUGAACCAGCCAGCCCGCGUGUGCGAUGAAGGCCUUCGGGUUGUAAAGCACUUUUGGCAGGAAAGCGGUACCUGCAGAAUAAGCACCGGCUAACUACGGGCCAGCAGCCGCGGUAAUUC